UGGCUUGGUCCUUGAUUGAGCAGCUCAUU
rnacentral:piRNA from 1 species